AUGGAGGUGGUGAGUGCUUCGCAUGGUGUGUUGGGUCCCCUGCUGGGGAAGCUCACCGGUUUGCUUGCCGAUGAGUGCGCCCGCCUGAAAGGCGUCCGCCGCGAGAUCCGCUCGCUCAAAGCUGAGCUGACAUGCAUGCAUGGCGCGGUCUGCAAGUACACGGCGCUGCAAGAUCCCGACGUCCAGAUGAAGGCGUGGAUAUCCCUGGUGAGGGAGCUGGCGUACGACAUCGAAGAUGUCAUGGACAAGUUCAUCCACCAGCUUGGUAAUGGUGUCCAGCAUCAGCAUGGCUUCAAAGAGUUCUUCCGCAAGACCGCUCGCCGGCUCAAGACGCUAGGCUCUCGUCGUCGAAUCGCCAGCCAAAUCGAUGAUCUAAAGAUUCGCCUCAAGCAGGUAAAAGAGUUGAAGAGUAGUUACAAGCUGGAUGAUAUACCCUGUAGCACCUUUGAGCAUUCAGCCGUGGAUCCCCGCUUGUCUGCUCUUUUUGUUGAGGAAGCACAGCUUGUGGGAAUUGAUGGUCCAAGAGAUGACCUUGUCAAGUGGAUGCUCGAAGAUGAAAAUAGCUCGACCAAGCAUCGCAAGGUGCUGUCCAUCGUUGGCUUUGGUGGGUCAGGGAAAACAACACUGGCCAAGGAGGUCUACCACAAGAUACAGGGACAAUUUCAUUGUCAUGCUUUUGUCUCGGUCUCGCAAAAACCAAAUGUAAAGAAAAUUAUGAAGGAUUUGAUCUUCCAGUUGCCUUGUAAGCAAGAUUUUAAAGAAGGCAUCAACACUUGGGAUGAAGCAAUGUGUAUUAUGAAGCUAAAAAAAUUGUUACAAGAUAAGAGGUACCUCAUUAUUAUUGAUGAUAUAUGGUCCAUAUCAGCAUGGGACGCUAUUAAGUCUGCUUUCCCGGAGAAUGGUUUUUCUAGCAGAAUUAUAGCUACUACACGCAUUGUUGAAGUGGCAAGAUCAUGCUGUCUAGGUGGUAAUGGCCGCAAGUAUGAAAUGGAAGCCCUAAGUAAUAUCCACUCUGAAAGACUGUUUUUCAAAAGAAUAUUUGGUUCCGAGGAUGGCUGCCCUGAUGUGCUAAAAGAUGUUUCAGAAAAAAUAAUGAAGAAAUGUGGAGGCCUCCCAUUGGCAAUUAUCAGUAUAUCAAGUUUAUUGGCAAACAGAUCGAUGGUCAAAGAUGAGUGGGAGAGGGUCAAAAGGUCAAUUGGUUCUGCCUUGGAUAAAAAACAAAGCUUAGAUGGAAUGAAUAGCAUACUAUCCCUUAGCUACAAUGAUCUUUCACCUAAUCUUAAGACUUGUUUGAUAUAUUUAAGUAUAUAUCCUGAGGAUUAUGUGAUUGAGAGAGAUAUUUUAGUGAGGCAAUGGAUAGCAGAAGGCUUUAUCUCUGAAGAGCGCGGACAGACCAAACAAGAGGUUGCCGAGAACCGCUUCUAUGAGCUAAUAAACAAAAGUAUGGUCCAACCAGUUGAGAUUGGCUAUGAUGGAAAGGCUCGUGCUUGUCAAGUCCAUGACAUGAUGCUCGAGCUCAUUAUUAUGAAAUCGGUUGAAGAUAACUUCAUCUCUUUGGCAGGGCAUGGUCAAACUAAUUUGUCAAAGGGUGAUGGUCUUAUUCGGCGACUAUCAGUCCAGCAAAUUGAUAAAGAGCUUGCAUCUAUAUUGGAAAAUGAAGAUCUAAGCCAUAUACGAUCUCUGACAAUGAUAGGAUCAACUUGCAUCAGACACUUUCCUUGGCUUGCUCGGUUUGAAGCAUUGCGUGUACUGGAUUUUAAAGAUUGUAAGAGUUUGCACGAGUAUCAUAUUGAUGGUAUAGAUAAACUUUUCCAGCUGAAGUACCUGAGCUUGAGGGGCACUGACAUGUCCAACCUACCAUCAGGAAUUGUGAGGCUAUAUGGUCUAGAGACGCUAGAUCUUAGAGAUACAAAUAUAACAAAAUUGCCCACUGGAAUUAUUCAGCUCGUUAAGCUACAACAUCUACUCACUGCAAGAGAUCCAGAAUCCAAUGAUAAUCCUUGCGGUAGAAUGAAGAUACCAAAUGGGAUUGGAAAUAUGCGGAAUUUACAGGUGAUCUCGGGCUUUAAUAUUACCGACAGUUCAUUAUAUACAAUCGAGGAACUGGGGAACCUGACCCAUUUGAAAGAACUCCAUGUACAGUUUGAUGGUGGUCGGUGGCAUGAAGAGAUGUUACUCUCCUCACUAUGCAAGCUUGGUAGCAGCAAACUUCAGUCUUUACGGAUAUACUCUAAUUAUUCAACACCCCUCCAGUUCUUAGAUUCCUGGUCACCUCUGCCAUACAACCUCCAAGUAUUUCGGAUGAGCACUGACUACUAUUUACCGAAGAUGCCAAAGUGGAUCGUACCAGCACUCGACAGUCUUGCAUAUCUGGACAUUAAUUUGAUUGAAGUAACAGAAGAGGGUCUGCGGAUACUUGGAGAGAUUCCUGCCUUACUUUGUCUGAAUUUAUCAAUCAGCAGUGUCCAAAAAGAAAGGCUGGCCAUACAAGGCAUUGGAUUCCCGUGUUUGAAGGAAUUCUGCAUUAUUCGUGCAACCCAUUGUGCAAGUGCAAUUUACUUGACGUUUGAAGAAGGAGCAAUGCCAAAGCUGGAGAAGCUUGAGCUGCCGAUGUUUAUUUCAGUGGCAGAAGCCUAUGGGUUCUAUUUGGGUCUUGGCCACCUCCCAUGUUUGAGAGAUGCCAGAGUUACGCGUUGUGAAGAUUAUGACACACCUUACCAAAGCAAAGCUACAGUUACCGCUAUAAGGGAGGAGGCAAAUAGCCAUCCCAAUCAUCCCAGGCUAUCUUUCUGGGACUAA
rnacentral:rRNA from 1 species